rnacentral:piRNA from 1 species
UGUUAAACUGGUUCCCAAUUGGCUUAGCA